rnacentral:tRNA from 1 species
UCUGUUUUGCAUGCAGAAGAUGUGGGAUAGAGUCCCACAGGUCUUA